rnacentral:tRNA from 1 species
GCGGUCAUCGUCUAGUUUGGUCUAGGACACUGGCCUUCCAUGCACUUUCAUGCGAAGAAAGCCCGUAACCCGGGUUCAAAUCCCGGUGACCGCA